UUGCCGCUGGAUCACCUCCUUUCAAGAGAAACGCACUCGCGCUUGCGCGAGCGCCCAACACAAGUUGCUUGAGCGGUGCCGGGCACGGUGCCGAUGAGGCAGAGCCCUCUUACCCUGCUGAGCUCGGGGCUCAUCUAUUCAUUGGGUCUGUAGCUCAGGUGGUUAGAGCGCACCCCUGAUAAGGGUGAGGUCGGAAGUUCGAGUCUUCCCAGACCCACCACUGUCGUGCCGGUAGUGCCUCGGCUCGAGGAUCACGGUUGUCGUGAUCCGACGUUCGCAAGGAGCGUAAGAGCAUGGGGCUGUAGCUCAGCUGGGAGAGCACCUGCUUUGCAAGCAGGGGGUCACCGGUUCGAUCCCGGUCAGCUCCACCACUUCUAGU
rnacentral:tRNA from 1 species